CAGAACGAACGCUGGCGGCACGCCUAACACAUGCAAGUCGAGCGCUACCUUCGGGUGGAGCGGCGGACGGGUUAGUAACGCGUGGGAACAUACCCUUUUCUACGGAAUAGCCUCGGGAAACUGAGAGUAAUACCGUAUACGCCCUUCGGGGGAAAGAUUUAUCGGUUAAGGAUUGGCCCGCGUUAGAUUAGAUAGUUGGUGGGGUAAUGGCCUACCAAGUCUACGAUCUAUAGCUGGUUUGAGAGGAUGAUCAGCAACACUGGGACUGAGACACGGCCCAGACUCCUACGGGAGGCAGCAGUGGGGAAUCUUAGACAAUGGGCGCAAGCCUGAUCUAGCGAUGCCGCGUGAGUGACGAAGGUCUUAGGAUCGUAAAGCUCUUUCGCCAGGGAUGAUAAUGACAGUACCUGGUAAAGAAACCCCGGCUAACUCCGUGCCAGCAGCCGCGGUAAUACGGAGGGGGUUAGCGUUGUUCGGAAUUACUGGGCGUAAAGCGCACGUAGGCGGACUAUUAAGUUAGAGGUGAAAUCCCGGGGCUCAACCCCGGAACUGCCUUUAAUACUGGUAGUCUAGAGUUCGAGAGAGGUAAGUGGAAUUCCGAGUGUAGAGGUGAAAUUCGUAGAUAUUCGGAGGAACACCAGUGGCGAAGGCGGCUUACUGGCUCGAUACUGACGCUGAGGUGCGAAAGUGUGGGGAGCAAACAGGAUUAGAUACCCUGGUAGUCCACACCGUAAACGAUGAAUGCCAGACGUCAGGGGGCUUGCCCUUUGGUGUCACACCUAACGGAUUAAGCAUCC
rnacentral:rRNA from 1 species